UUAAAACCAAUGUGAUUUAGCUACAUUACUUGAUUGGAUGUCCUUUGUUAUCAACCAUAUUACAAUAUACAAAUUAAUGUUCAUAGAUACUGUUAAUUCAGAAAAACUGUAUAAAAAAUAAAUGAUUUAUCUCAUAUUUUUGUCAAUUGUUAUAGAAUUACUAUAAUUAUAAAUGCACAAAACAAUUUCUGAAUUAGUAGUAGACUUUCAGUUUGUUAACUUAGCCAAUAUUAUCUCGGUGAUACCCUUUUCUGUUAGCCAAAAUUAAUGUUAAAAUAGUAUUAACCUCACAUUGUUUUGUUGUCAACUUUACAAUCUGUAAUUUUAAUCAAUGUAUUUACAUUUUAUUUUGGGAACAAAACAGUGGAGUGAAAGAAAGAAGCAUUUUGCAUCUACUUUUUACAAAAUUGCAAUAUAACUAAUAUAUUAUAUUUAUAGUUGAAACACUUUGCAACUUCUUAAAAUUGCAAAAUAACUACAAAAUAUACAUAAUGUUGAAAAAAGAUGAAAUUCGUUUUAAGUUUGCGGGAUUAAAAUAAUUGAAACAUUCGAGUUAUCCUUGCUUUCCUGCUUGAUUAUGAUCAUAUUCCAUAUGAUAAACAAUGUGCUAAUAUUAUGCUAUCCGGUUUAUCCUUAGAAAUCAGUAUUUUUGAACUUGCAUUAUGUUAAAAAUGGAAGUUGUGUUAUGUGAUCACAGAUUACGUUUAUGUUUUGUUUAUUUGUCCUUAUGUAUUGGUUUAUUAAUAAAAU
rnacentral:lncRNA from 1 species